rnacentral:rRNA from 1 species
UGAGGAAUAUUGGCCAAUGGGCGAGAGCCUGAACUAGCCAAGUAGCGUGCGGGAUGAAGGCCCUUGUGGUCGUAAACCGCUUUUAUCAGUGAAUAAAGUGCAUCACGUGUGGUGUCAUUGCAGGUAGCUGAAGAAAAAGGACCGGCUAAUUCCGUGCCAGCAGCCGCGGUAAUACGGAAGGUCCGGGCGUUAUCCGGAAUUAUUGGGUUUAAAGGGAGCGCAGGCGGGAGUAUAAGUCAGCUGUUAAAUAUCAGAGCCCAACUCUGUUAUGCAGUUGAAACUAUAUUUCUUGAGUACGCACAGGGAUGGCGGAAUUCAGGGGGUAGCGGGUGAAAUGCUUAGAUAUCCUGAAGAACUCCGAUCGCGAAGGCAGCCAUCCGGAGCGUAACUGACGCUGAGGCUCGAAGGUGCGGGUAUCGAACAGGAUUAGAUACCCUGGUAGUCCGCACGGUAAACGAUGAAUACUCGCAGUUCGGCCGUUUAGGUCGAGUUGUCCAGCGAAAGCGUUAAGUAUUCCACCUGGGGAGUACGCCGGCAACGGUG